AGCCAGAGACGGUGCACCCGUACCGCAAACCGACACAGGUAGUCGAGGAGAGUAUCCUCAGGUGAGCGAGAGAACUCUCGUUAAGGAACUCGGCAAAAUGGCCCCGUAACUUCGGGAGAAGGGGCGCUGGUCGCAAGAUCAGCCGCAGUGAAAAGGCCCAAGCAACUGUUUAUCAAAAACACAGGCAUCUGCAAAAUCGUAAGAUGAAGUAUAGGUGCUGACACCUGCCCGGUGCUGGAAGGUUAAGAGGAGAGCUUAGCGCAAGCGAAGGUUUGAAUUGAAGCCCCAGUAAACGGCGGCCGUAACUAUAACGGUCCUAAGGUAGCGAAAUUCCUUGUCGGGUAAGUUCCGACCUGCACGAAAGGUGUAAUGAUUUGGGCACUGUCUCAACGAGAGACUCGGUGAAAUUAUAAUACCCGUGAAGAUGCGGGUUACCCGCGACAGGACGGAAAGACCCCAUGGAGCUUUACUGCAGU
rnacentral:rRNA from 1 species